CCCUUAGAUGUUCUGGGCCGCACGCGCGCUACACUGAUGCUUUCAACGAGUCUAAAACCUGGUCUGAUAGGGCUGGGUAAUCUUUUGAAUGUGCAUCGUGAUUGGGAUAGAUGAUUGCAAUUCUUCAUCUUCAACGAGGAAUGCCUAGUAAACGCAAGUCAUCAGCUUGCAUUGAUUACGUCCCUGCCCUUUGUACACACCGCCCGUCGCUCCUACCGAUUGAAUGUUCCGAUGAAUACCAUGGACUGAGAGUAUGAAUGGGUUCGCCUAUUUCUGCUUCUCGGGAAGUGGAGUAAAUCUUAACAUUUAGAGGAAGGAGAAGUCGUAACA
rnacentral:rRNA from 1 species